ACCCGCUCUCUCUAUCUCUCUGUCUCGCUCUUCUCCUGCGGAAUGGGUCUAGCUUUCUGCGGUUGGUGACUUUGUGCUCACCACCGAAGCGCUCGACGCCCUUGACCUCCUUCAAUCUUCCUCAAGGCUUCAGACUUUUGCCUCGGGAGUAAAGCCGGCAGCCAACACACCAUGAACUCAGCGCGAGGUGCGCUGGGCUAACCUCGCUGACGAAGCCGGCAGUGACGCCGCGGCGGAGGAGCUCGUUGCCUUUGCGGGAGGGGUCGAGCGACACCUCGUCGGGUCUAUCUACAAAGGAUAUGGAAGAGCGCUCCCUGAUGGUUAAUGCAUGGAUUUUACGAAGAGAAUGUCCGUGCAUUAUGAAUACGGUUUCUUAAUGCAUAGUUGUUCACAUGGAAAGGUUUUCGAUGAAGACAAACUCUGAAGGUUCUCAAGUCAAAGCGUACAUGAACGAUGGUUGGCAGCUCAUAUUCCCCUCCAGAUUUUUAUGUAAAGUGAAGAAUGGCCGGAUUGAUAGCGAUGAUCAGUGCAGUGCGAGACAAGUACACGAUCAAAGGUUUAGACCGAG